CUGGUUAGAAAUGGUGUCAGUAAAAUCACCUCCAAAAUACAAGACACGAAGUCGACAUCUGGUGAGGUUCUGAAAGGCAAGUCCACACACAAAGAUGGGAAUGGUGGUGCUGUCUGUGAGGUCGAACAACCUGCACGGAACCGGGCCAUUCUUGCUGAGCAGAUAGUGAAAAAUGAAAAAGUAGUUACAGAUACCACAAGGGCACCGGUUGCAGUGGCUUCAUCUAAAUUUGCCCCCGGCCUCUACAAAGGUAAAAUUGUGGAGUCAAAAAUUGGAUCACUUUGGAAGUCAAGUGCGACAGCUCGAGGGGCGGGGUCAAAACCAGCACCACCCAAAACGGAGAGCCAAAAGGUUGUGAAUUUGACAAAAAGCAGGUCAAAGUCUGUUGCUGAUGUCCCUGGACGCAACCUCCAAAAAUCUGCCCCAACGACGUCUAAAUCGCUGUUGGAUGGACGCGCGCAAGCAUCCAAACCUGGACCUAGUGGCCGUCUUCCAGGGCCUCGCUCUGCCCGCCCUCCGACCUCCUCUACUGUCCCGGCAACAUUAAGACCCACCAGCUCCAGAAACACAACAGCGGCACCCACCAAGCCAAAGGUUGCCAUAACUGAUAAGAAGGUCAAGAAGCCUCCUGUCACAAGCACCCUCAGCCAGUACAGAUGUACGGAAACGACAGAGGAAAGAAGGGCAAAAUUAGCUGUGUGGCUGGCUUCCAAGGGCAAGACUCUAAAGAGACCGGCUAUGACAAGCACACGCACAGAAACA